CUGUAUGUCCCAAAAGGGGACUUUCUACUCCAGGACACCAGCUCAAGGCCAGUUUGCUCGUUCUAAUUUGAAGAUAACCCACUCCAGCUGAGGGAAGAGACGCAAAUGCAAACCCUUAGCUCAACAGACUGGGCCCAGGGGAAGGCCAGAGGUCAAAGCCUGUCUCUUCCUCUUCCUCAUUCCCUGGACAGACCCAUCACCCACAGCAGCUGAUGACACACUGAGAAGCAGCUCCAGCCAGCACUGCCAAACCAAAGGAUGAAGGUCCCAUGGCUUCAUAUUGGGGCCAACAGAGGACCCUCCCACGACUGACUGAGGAUCAACCCACUCUUUAAACAAGAGUAACUCUGCCUGUGACGACUCAUGCUGAAGACGAAGGCCCAGCUCCCCAGAGGAGCCAGUCUGUCAGCGAGCAAGAAGCUUGGAGAUGGAUCUCUGCAACACUGGCUUCCAUUCCCAGGGGCCUGCAGUGAGAUACUAAGGAGGCUGUAAACAGACUUUCCACACCCUGGACAGGAUGCCCAGAGCUGGACACCCAAGGAACA